rnacentral:lncRNA from 1 species
AAUUAUGCCUAAAGCAAGCUACAAUGUUCAUAUAUUGUUCUUCUCAUGCAUUUGAGAUUAUUAUGAGGUCACGAGUUAUGGAAGAGAGUUGUUGAGGUAAAGGCUUAGUCAUUUUAUUUUUCCAAGGAACUUUAUGUGUUGAGAGGGGUUUUGGCAUUUAGAUCGAUAUUGGAUAAUCGUCAAUGAAGCAUAUAUUGAGAAACUACUUGUUCGAACCAAACACUUUAACAAAUUGAAAAGAAUCAUAUUGAUUAAACUAUUACUAUCAGAAGAAAUGGAAAUGAAUAUAAUAGCUGAUCAUCACUCUAGUGGGCCCAGGCUUAAAACAUUGGGCUUAGUAUCCAAACCCAGCGACCUGGGGUCUGGACUUGCUUAACCAAACUCCAGAUGUGCCGAUUUGCUAGUCCAUUCCACUUCACGUAAGUCCCUGAUGGAAUUGGUUCUGAAAAAUAACUAUACAGAUUUAAAUCUUCAAAUUAGGCACAAUGAACUUGAAUCAGAAUAUGUACAACUAAAUUAAGGAUUAAUUUAUAAAUAUCGCCUAUUCUAUAGCUAUUGUUCACAGUAUGACGAUUUUACACCAAUAGCCAAAUCCCAACCCCGCACUUUCAUUUCAUUCUUCACAUUCCUUCAAUGAAGCCUUGCCUUUAUCACCUGUUCAAUUAUAUCCUUUCUUCUCGAGCUGACUUUAAUUCAUAAUCAUAAGUAUAAACUAACAUCAGGAAUUGCAUAAGCAAACAAAAGAUUAGAUUCAUUAUGAAACUAUAACUAUCCUUUGAAUAGCACAUUAUAGCAGCUCAAUCAAAGGUAGACCGGUUUAACUAUUGAACAACAACACACGAAAUCAGAUGUAAACACAACAAAUCACUCGACUCUUCAUUAACACAUUCAAAUAGAGUUAUAGAAGGAGUUUCAAAUACCUAGAAGCAAAAUCAAUAGAUGAACUUGACAAAUAAGAAUCAGAGAAAGAAAGUGAAGAUCUAGCUAGCAAAACAUCAACAAGCUCACAAUCAAACAAACAGCUCCAGAACUUCAAAACAAUUCGAAAUCCAAGGAAGAAAGUGAUGCAAAAAUCAGUAAAAUGGAAGAGCAAAACAACUUUUGUAGCUUUUUUUUUUCUAUCUAUUUUUGAACCUCAAAUUCUCGUUUUCAAAAAGAAAUCAGGGUGAAUGAAAGGAACCUGAAUUUUAGAGAGAUUUUUAUGUCAAAAUCCCAUGUGACAAGGAGAGGAGGAAUACCUUUUUAGAGAAUGUGAACAUGUGCCCAUGAUAGGGAAUGGGAGAGAGAUUAAAAGGAAUCUGCCAGCACGAAAAUUUUAGGGAAAAUGGCAUCUUUAUUAACAAAAAAAAUAGACAGUCGUCCAAUUUCUAGAUAUUUC